GAUGAACGCUGGCGGCGUGCCUAAUACAUGCAAGUCGAGCGAACAGACGAGAAGCUUGCUCCUCUGACGUUAGCGGCGGACGGGUGAGUAACACGUGGAUAACCUACCUAUAAGACUGGGAUAACUUCGGGAAACCGUAGCUAAUACCGGAUAAUAUAUUGAACCGCAUGGUUCAAUAGUGAAAGACGGUCUUGCUGUCACUUAUAGAUGGAUCCGCGCUGCAUUAGCUAGUUGGUAAGGUAACGGCUUACCAAGGCAACGAUGCGUAGCCGACCUGAGAGGGUGAUCGGCCACACUGGAACUGAGACACGGUCCAGACUCCUACGGGAGGCAGCAGUAGGGAAUCUUCCGCAAUGGGCGAAAGCCUGACGGAGCAACGCCGCGUGAGUGAUGAAGGUCUUCGGAUCGUAAAACUCUGUUAUUAGGGAAGAACAUAUGUGUAAGUAACUGUGCACGUCUUGACGGUACCUAAUCAGAAAGCCACGGCUAACUACGUG
rnacentral:rRNA from 1 species